UAAUACAUGCAAGUCGUACGCACUGGCCCAACUGAUUGAUGGUGCUUGCACCUGAUUGACGAUGGAUCACCAGUGAGUGGCGGACGGGUGAGUAACACGUAGGUAACCUGCCCCGGAGCGGGGGAUAACAUUUGGAAAACAGAUGCUAAUACCGCAUAACAACAAAAGCCACAUGGCUUUUGUUUGAAAGAUGGCUUUGGCUAUCACUCUGGGAUGGACCUGCGGUGCAUUAGCUAGUUGGUAAGGUAACGGCUUACCAAGGCGAUGAUGCAUAGCCGAGUUGAGAGACUGAUCGGCCACAAUGGAACUGAGACACGGUCCAUACUCCUACGGGAGGCAGCAGUAGGGAAUCUUCCACAAUGGGCGCAAGCCUGAUGGAGCAACACCGCGUGAGUGAAGAAGGGUUUCGGCUCGUAAAGCUCUGUUGUUGGAGAAGAACGUGCGUGAGAGUAACUGUUCACGCAGUGACGGUAUCCAACCAAAAAGUCACGGCUAACUACGUGCCAGCAGCCGCGGUAAUAC
rnacentral:rRNA from 2 species